rnacentral:rRNA from 1 species
AUUGAACGCUGGCGGCAUGCCUUACACAUGCAAGUCGAACGGUCACAGGUUAAGCUGACGCGUGGCGCACGGGUGAGUAAUACAUCGGUACGUGCCCAGUAGCGGGGGUUAGCCCGGCGAAAGCCGUAUUAAUACCGCAUACGACCUAAGGGUGUAUGGGGGGGCUCGCAAGACCUCUCGCUAUUGCAGCGUCCCAUGUCCGAUUAGCUAGUUGGUGGGGUAAAAGCUCACCAAGGCGACGAUCUGUAGCUGGUCUGAGAGGACGACCAGCCACACUGGGACUGAGACACGGCCCAGACUCCUACGGGAGGCAGCAGUGGGGAAUUUUCGGCAAUGGGCGCAAGCCUGACCCAGCAAUGCCGCGUGCGGGAAGAAGGCCUUCGGGUUGUAAACCGCUUUUGUCAGGGAAGAAAUCCUUUGUGUGAAUACCUCGGGGGGAUGACGGUACCUGAAGAAUAAGCACCGGCUAACUACGUG